AGUGUCUGUUUCUUCAGACUGACAGAUAGUUCAUUACAACACCUCUCUCCCCUUCACUCUACUGCAGGGUGGGAGAUGCAACAAUGUCCUUGAGAACAGCAGGAAGUGUGUUGAUGGUCUUUCUCUGGUCUUUAGCAGUGGUACUGGGUCAGGAUGGAUGGAGUGUGACUUACACCACUCAGAGUAUCUGUGCCUUGAAGGGGUCAACAGUGGAGCUGACCUGCUCUUUCAGAUAUCC